UCUUUCAAUGGUGUAUCCAUCACUGUGAAUAUCUGCUGUGCAGCUGGUUGUCAUCUCUUUCUCAAACAUUAGAGAAGGUGCAAAAUAAUGGCCUUAUUUAAUGUGACUCCCUCUUUGCUGGAGAGGAAGAAGACACAGAUUCAUCUGGUAACAAAGACAUUCCCUACCCUGAAGAGCUGGUUGCCUUAAUUGAAGACUGAAAUGAAAUAAACAGGAGUGGAAAAGUAGAAGGCAUUGUGCCUAGUUCAUAUUCCAAAUGGCGUAGGUCGGUAUGCAGCUUUGCAAAUGAGGAUUAAGAGCUUUCAUAAGCACACGAAAAUCUAUUUCAGUUGCAAUGAUCAGGUGAGAAGACCCACGAGGUCAUUCAUAACAGACUGUUGCAAAGUACUAUGAAAGAAUAAGAAAAUGGA